AUUGAACGCUGGCGGCAGGCCUAACACAUGCAAGUCGAACGGUAACAGGAAACAGCUUGCUGUUUCGCUGACGAGUGGCGGACGGGUGAGUAAUGUCUGGGAAACUGCCUGAUGGAGGGGGAUAACUACUGGAAACGGUAGCUAAUACCGCAUAACGUCGCAAGACCAAAGAGGGGGACCUUCGGGCCUCUUGCCAUCGGAUGUGCCCAGAUGGGAUUAGCUAGUAGGUGGGGUAACGGCUCACCUAGGCGACGAUCCCUAGCUGGUCUGAGAGGAUGCACAGCCACACUGGAACUGAGACACGGUCCAGACUCCUACGGGAGGCAGCAGUGGGGAAUAUUGCACAGUGGGCGCAAGCCUGAUGCAGCCAUGCCGCGUGUAUGAAGAAGGCCUUCGGGUUGUAAAGUACUUUCAGCGGGGAGGAAGGGAGUAAAGUUAAUACCUUUGCUCAUUGACGUUACCCGCAGAAGAAGCACCGGCUAACUCCGUGCCAGCCGCCGCCGUAA
rnacentral:rRNA from 1 species